rnacentral:rRNA from 1 species
UACGUAGGGUGCAAGCGUUAAUCGGAAUUACUGGGCGUAAAGCGUGCGCAGGCGGUUGUGCAAGACAGAUGUGAAACUCCCGGGCUAACCUGGGAACUGCAUUUGUGACUGCACAGCUGGAGUGCGGCAGAGGGGGAUGGAAUUCCGGCGUGUAGCAGUGAAAUGCGUAGAUAUGCGGAGGAACACCGAUGGCGAAGGCAAUCCCCUGGGCCUGCACUGACGCUCAUGCACGAAAGCGUGGGGAGCAAACAGG